GUGAUAUGGACGUCUCGCCUCUUAUGUGGUUGUACUUUUUGUUAUAAAAACAAAUUACGACAUUAGUCCACUCCCCAGGAUAUUCUUGUCACUGGUACUGUGAGUUUGCUACUCUAAGCAACAAUCAUGAGGGUCUCCACAAGCAAACUCCAGCAGAUGGCCAUCUACACCACCUUGUUGACUGGUGCUGGAUGCGGCACAAUGUAUUACCUUCUGCAAAAGAACUUCUCACGGUCGGACUACCACCGUCUAGCCCUGGAGCAGCUGAAAGCUAACCAGACAGCCAUGGACAGUCUGGGAGCACCACCCCUGAAGGUCCACAACAUCCACCUGUCUGACCGACACAACCGGGUGGAACCUUACACGGCUGAGAUCAAAAUCCCAGUGACAGGAUCUAAAGAUGGUGGCUACCUCUACACAUCCUCAGUAAGAGACCCCCAAACACUUGGGUGGAAUUUAACGCAGGCAGUGCUGCAGCUUAGAGAGGGUCAGCGUAUUGACCUUCUCACAUUCACACCACCGCCGAAUAAGACAGAAGGACUUGAGACAGGCAACUGGUCCUCCUGAUCUGCUCACCAGUCACCAAAACUACAGUGUGAUGAAGGUAGAACUGCUACAAUUGUCCCCAUGUCAUCAGGCAUGGUGUCGCCAUAGCUUUAUGAAUUGAAGUGUCAUAGUCAUAUUUGAAAAAAGCACCAGAGUGCAGUGCUGGACACUUAUUUAGACAAAAGGGCAUACACAAGCUACUGUGUACAUAACAUUUACAUACAGGGAAAAUGAAAAAAGUGCUACGUCCAUAAAAUGUCAUGCAUAUUCAUUUUGCUCAGCGCAGUCCUGAGCAAAAUGUUCAUCCUACUGGUGAGAAUGAAAGGACAAUAACAGAGCAGCAAUUGUGUCAUAUGCAGUGGUAAAAAACAACAACAUAUUCCUAGUAUAAUACAAUACAUCUGAUGAACAUUUCUCCAGAUUAACAAUGUAAAUUGGCAGUGUUGGGGAAGCUACUCUGAAAAGAGUUUACCAGCCACCAAUUACAUUAAGUAAACUAUAUUACUCAAUCUGCAAUGUCAUAGAAUAUAAAUAGCAAGAACAGAUAACUCUGUAAUAAGAUGUUAACAGAACGUGUAAUUUAUCCUAUUAAACACAAAAAAAUGUUGUUUCAGGUGAGAAUUAGCCAGGUCUGAAAAUUAAGGAAAUUCUUGCCUACUUCACCCAUAUUUAAUUUUUGCAAAAAAAGUAGUGUUUCAUUCCAUUAGUUACCUACACCACUAGAUGGCAAUAAAGUAAUUAACUAUUGAAAACACUACAAAUAUUUUUAAUUUAGUUGCACUACCACAAUGUGCAAAAUGUAGUUUAAUUACUAACUGAACCACAUUUAGUUCAGUACACCCCAACACUGGUAAUUGCUUAGUCCAAAGCCAUAUCUUAAUAUCCAGCACUUGAGAAACAUUUAGGCAAUGGUUCCAGUUGUACAGUACAGUAUCUGAACAACCAGAAAUGUUGUCUCCCAAAGAGGUAUUGUUUUAUGUUUUCAGAUUGAUUUAUUCAGAUGUGACAUUUUACAGUGAAAAUGAGAUCGUGGAAAAUAAACAUGGAAAUAAACAGUCAAAUGGCUUUAUACAAGUUAUGAUAGCAAAAUAAAUUGUACUUGUGAAUUCUGAACAUACUGUAUGAACAUUAGGAAAAGAAUGGCAAACAAGCUAAACAUGAACCACAAUAUUAAACAGAAAGUGAAAGAAUGGAACCAAACAAACAACGUCAGGAGUUUAAUUCAUUCAAAUGCAAUGCAGGCAAACAGAGAUAUAGUUUGGCUUGUGGAGUACAGACAGUGUGGUGUGGUAAACAAUAUACAAUCAGUAAAGAGUCCAUCUACAGUAGAAGUGCUCAUACCCAUCUAUCAGAAGAUUAUCUUCUGUAGGGAGCUGAAUGACUCCUCAAACCUGAAUCGCUUGGAGACGGCCUUCGCAUCCUGAGACAGUCUCUGGGUCGGGCAUCAUCGUUUUGCAUUAUCCUAUGGUGUAGGCAGCCACUACUAUCAACUCAUAAACAAACAAGAAAAUGCACAUCCUGAGGCUGUGUGGCCAGUGAUUUUAAUGAAGGGAAACUGAAAUCAGUUUUACACCAUUUCUACCAGCAUGUCACCUGUGCAACCAGAGUUGACAAAACUCUAGACCACUUUUACUCCAGCCACAGAAAUGCAUACAAAGCUCUCCCCUGCCAUCCCUUCAGCAAAUCUGACCAUAACUCUAUCCUCCUGAUUUCUGCUUACAAGCAAAAACUCAAACAAGCAGGAAGUACCAGUGUGGUACAGAAGUGGUCCAACAAAGCAGAUGCUAAGCCACCAGACUGUUUUGCUAGCAAAGACUGGAAUAUGUUCCAAAUUCAUCCGAUAACAUUGAGCUCUUUACCACAUUAGUCACCGGCUUCAUUAAUAACUGCAUCAACGAUGUCAUCCCCACAGUGAACGUACAUAUACAGUGCAUUCGGAAAGUAUUCAGACCCGUUGACUUUUUCCAAAUUUUGUUACGUUACAGCCUGAAUCUACCCACAAUACCCCAUAUUGACAAAGCAAAAACAGUUUAGACAUUUUUGCAAGUGUAUAAAAGUAAAUGGAUCAUCACAUUUACAUAAGUAUUCAGACCAUUUACUCAAUACUUUGUUGAAGCAGCGAUUACAGCCUUGAGUCUUCUUGGGUAUGAUGCUACAAGCUUGGCACGCCUGUAUUUGGGGAGUUUCUCCCAUUCUUCACUGCAGAUUCUCUCAAGUUCUGUCAGGUUGGAUGGGGAGCGUCUCUGCACAGCCAUUUUCAGGUCUCCAGAGCUGUUCAAUCGGGUUCAAGUCCGGGCUCUGGCUGGGCUACUCAAGGACAUUCAGAGACUUCUCCUGAAGCCACUCCUGCGUUGUCUUGGCUGUGUGUUUAGGGUCGUUGUCCUGUUGGAAGGUGAACCUUCACCCCAGUCUGAGGUCCUGAGUGCUCUGGAGCAGGUUUUCAUCAAGGAUCUCUCUGUACUUUGCUCUGUUCAUUUUUCUCUCAAUCCUGACUAAUCUCCCAGUCCCUGCCGCUGAAAAAAAUCUCCAUAGCAGGAUGCUGCCACCACCAUGCUUCACCGUAUGGAUGGUGCCAGGUCUCCUCCAGGUGUGAUGCUUGGCAUUCAGGCCAAAGAGCUCAAUCUUGGUUUCAUCAGACCAUAGAAUAUUUUUUCUCAUGGUCUGAGAGUCCUUUAGGUACCUUUUGUCAAAUUCUAAGCGACCUUUCAUGUACCUUUUACUGAGGAGUGGCUUCCGUCUGGACACUCUACCAUAAAGGCCUGAUUGGUGGAGUGCUACAGAGAUGGUUGUCCUUCUGGAAGGUUCUCCCAUCUCCACAGAGGAACUCUGGAGCACUGUCAGAGUGGCCAUCUCCCUGACCAAGGGCCUUCUCCCCCGAUUGCUCAGUUUGGCCAGGUGGCCAGCUCUAGGAAGAGUCUUGGUGGUUCCAAACAUCUUCCAUUUAAGAAUAAUGGAGGCCACUGUGUUCUUGGGGACCUUCAAUUCUGCAGAAAUGUUUUGGUACCCUUCCACAGAUCUGUGCCUCAACACAAUCCUGUCUCAGAACUCUGGACAAUUCCUUCAACCUCCCUCAUUGCUUGGUUUUUGCUCUGACAUGCACGGUGUCACUGUAGGACCUUAUGUAGAAAAGUGUGUGCCUUUCCAAAUAAUGUCUAAUCAAUUGAAUUUACCACGGGUGGACUCCAAUCAAGUUGUAGAAACAACUCAAGGAUGAUCAAUGGAAACAGGAUGCACCUGAGCUCAAUUUCGAGUCCCAUAGCAAAGGGUCUGAAUACUUAUGUAAAUAAGCAUGCAUUUCAAUUUAUUUAUUUUUUACUACAUUUGCAAACACCUGUUUUCGCUUUGUCGUUAUGGGGUAUUGUGUGUAGAUUGAGGGAAACAUUUAUUUAAUCAAUUUUAGAAUACGGCUGUAAUGUAACAAAAUGUGGAAAAGGGGAAGGGGUCUGAAUACUUUCUGAAUGCACUGUAUCCCAAUCAGAAGCCAUGGAUUACAGGCAAUAUCUGCACUGAUCUAAAGGCUAGAGCUGCAGCUUUCAAGGAGCGGGACACUAAUUUGGAUGCUUAUUAGAAGUCCCGCUACGAACUCCGACGAGCCAUCGAACGGGCAAAGCGUCAAUAUAAGACUAAGAUUGGAUCCAACUACGCCGGCUCUGACGCUCGUCGGAUUUGGCAGCGCUGCAAACUAUCACGGAUUACAAAACUGCCCAGACGAGAUAAAUACCUUCUAUUCCCAUUUUGAGGCAUGCAAAUAUGAACCAUGCAUGAGAGCACCAAGACCUUCAAACAGGUUAACCUUCACAAGGCCGUGGGCCAAACGGAUUACCAGGACAUGUACUCGGAGCAUGCGCCGACCAACUGGCAAGUGUCUUCACUGACAUUUUCAACCUCUCCCUGACCCAGCCUGUAAUACCUACAUGUUUCAAGCAGACCACCAUAGUCCCUGUGCCCAAGGACGCCAAGGUAACCUGUCUAAAUUAUUAUUGCAACCCACACACUCACAGAUACUUACACUAACUCUCCAACACACACACAUGCAUAUUGACGCCACUCACACACAGUUUUGUUUUUCUAUCCUUGUGUCGACCAAAAAAUGUGUUCCCUUUCAAAAUCCUAUUUUCCCUAAGCCUAACACUAUACCUAACCCUAACUUCUAAACCUAACCCCCAACCUUAACCCUAAUUGUAACCCUAAAUCAAAUCAAAUUUAUUGGUCACAUUUGUUUUAAUGAACCCGAGCCUAAAAUAUUAUUUUUCCUCAUGGGGACUGGCGAAAUGACCCUACUUCUCAGAAUUUUCCUUUGAGGACUUCUGGUACCCACAAGGAUAAUGAAACAAAAACACACACACACACACUUUUACACUGCACAUUGACUCGGUACUGGUACUGCUUGUAUAUAGCCUUGUUAUUGAUGUCAAUUGUGUUAUUAUUUUUGAAUGUUAUUUUCUUACUUUUAACGCUGCAUUGUUGGGAAAGGGCUCCAGAGCAAAGCUGGAGGAGGGACCUUGCUCUGCAGUCCUGACCUUUCCUCCUCUUCCUCAGGAACAUGGCUGUGUGCUCCAUCCCUGUGCUCUUCUCCACACACCUCUUCACUAUGGCAAACCUCCCCCUGGAGAAAGAUAGGGGACUUAACGUUGAAGGACAAGCCUUAAUAAUGAGCACACUGCCCCUUACAACAGGAUCAAAACACAUUGGACUACAACGUGAUGAACCAUUUCUUAAUAGGUCUUAGAGAAUGCUAACUAUAGUGAUGAUAGUGAUUGUUGAUGUUGAUUAUGCAUUUUAGUGGAUAAUCAAGAUUGUAAUUUACAUCCAACUGGUCUGUCUUCCCUUGAUUAGAAAUGUAUAGUGAAAUUGAAUGAUUGGGAAAUGGGCAAUAAGGUGGCACAGACCAUCGAAUGUUGUCAUGGUCACUGAAUAGGUCUUUGUCUCCCUGCAUUCCUUCUUGAUUAAAUCAUUAUUAAACCAAUGCGA